GGAGUAUCUGCAUUCAUCCGGUGAUGUGUAGUAAAAUACAGCAGCGCUACUGAAUCUACAUUUUGCGACUUGCAUUGCAUGCAUGAUACACAUUUUAUCAGUUUUAUGCAUUGCCUGGGAAUCAAAACCAUGCUCUUGACUUUGUGUGAGUUACAGGUAUCAACAGUUUAUCGGAGUCGAGCGUUUGGCCCGGAACUGUAUGUGAUGUGAGACUGUGACGCAAAAUAAUGAAAAAAUGAUGAACAGACAACACAGAUUUGUAUUGUCAUCCUCUCUCACCACACCCAACAACAAAUACACAACCAAAAAGGAUUUUUCAAAGUUGGAAAUAAAGAUUAUUGGAUUUUGUUUUACAAGAAAAAACUAUUUUAGUCUGUCUACUUCAAACCAUGUCAUAUUUAGUGUUGAAUGUGCUUAAUGCUGGAUGUGUUUCAUCUUUUGUCUUCUCCAGAUGUUCACUGAUGGACUGGAGUGCUGUGGAUUACUUGUGGAUUAUUGUGAUGUUUUUAUCAGCUGUUUGGACUCUCAUUCUGACGGCACCCAUUCACUGCAGAGCAUCCAUUGCUGAGACACUGAUGCAGUGCUGCAUUUCUACAAACCUGAUGAAGACACAAACUCAUCCUGAUCUUAGACGAACCGAGAGUCCUGGAAGUGUCUCAUCUCGUGUCCGAAUGGAGUGUGGUCUUCUACUUGGAAAUUUCAAAUCUUAUGCAGCAGACUGAAGUAACAAACCAAUUUCCCCUCUGAACGCUGAGAACAGUCGCUCAAGACAGCCGUCAACGGCUGACUAUCUAAAUGCAAAUGCAGAUGAUAAUUCCAAGAGCCCCGACACCAAAUGAGGUUAUUCAAGCCGCGUCACACUGGAAACUGGCUUGUUUGAAAUUCCCCUCAGGACACGGGAAGUGACCACAAUCCUGGGAAAUAAUUCAAUGAUAGUGCAGCAGUGAUGGAAGAAAAACUGAAAACUCAUUUGAGCAAAGUAUAUUCGUCAUCAAACACGGACGAGGAGAGAUUGAUCAUGCAAGUUGAGAAAUGCCAGAUUUUCUCAAAGUUUCUCAUCACAAUGAUGCCGCCUGGAGAAACAUCUCAGGAAAAUACAAGGCACCGAAGUGAAGUUGAAGACGUGUGUUCUUCAGAGGUGUCCGUGAUACAGUACCGUAAUGCUUUUUCUGCCUCGCCUUCACAUGAAUCCAGAGCUGAAGAACGACACACAUCAGCUGUGAGAACACAAACACACAUGCCAGAGAUUCCAGCGACACGACCAGGAAAAAUUCCCAUAAUGCUUUCACCAUGA
ensembl:lncRNA